UACGAAGGGGGCUAGCGUUGUUCGGAAUUACUGGGCGUAAAGCGUGCGCAGGCGGCUUCUCAAGUCAGGGGUGAAAGCCCAGAGCUCAACUCUGGAAUUGCCUUUGAGACUGAGUGGCUUGAGUACGAGAGAGGUGAGUGGAAUUCCCAGUAUAGAGGUGAAAUUCGUAGAUAUUGGGAAGAACACCGGUGGCGAAGGCGGCGACCUGGUCCUUGACUGACGCUGAGGCGCGAAAGCGUGGGGAGCAAACAGG
rnacentral:rRNA from 1 species